AAAGGCUUUCCGGCCGAUCGAUCACCAUAUCCCAUUGCCAUGUUUUCGCCAGCGGCGCCCCUGGCGACCAAGAACCUCGGCUCUCGGAGAUCCACCGAGUGCUGUGCCGCGCCCGUCGCUCCCGGCAGGGGGUUUCUUCUUCUUUGAUUUGAUCUCCCGAAACGUUACACUUCUCGAUCUCCGAAAUCUGGGUAGCGUUUCACCUGGCAUCUUUCUCCAACGCCCUGAACUACCACUUUUUGAUUCGCUGGAAGACAAUCCUGACAUGCCAUGCGAGUUCAGCGAAGCACAUAGGAAAAGAGUGCGACAUAUGUUUCCAUUUCUUGGAUUCCCUUUAGCAAUGUCGAUUAAUGAAAAUUCGAAUUCGGGUGGCAAAGAUUAUAGACAUUGCCCCUAUAUGUAUUAUGUAGCUACUUGUUGUUUUAUGAUCAAUUGGACAAAGGCUGGUACCAGCUUUUGGUUUGUGGAACAACACCAUGGAUGAUACAUGGAUAUGGUGAAAUCAGAGAUGUGUUUCUAAAGCACUUUGGGAGAAAAGUGCUAUGAAGUGACAGAGGACGGAAUAUUCUUGGUUGGCGAAUGGAUUGCAUGGUACGGAUUCCAUCAUCAGAAGAUUUUUGUAUUUGAACUCUGCUGUUGUUCAAGACACUCCUGAUUUGCUUCCUGACACAACCAUUUAAGUUAUCCUUUUUACUUAAAAGUUUUUGCACUCAGGUAUCUUUUGAUCUAUCAUAUGAAAUUCUCUUUUCCACCCUUUUGGAUUAACUUUCUGCGACAACAAACCACAACAACCUGCAUAGGGUUAAGAUUCAAUCCCAGUGGUUUAUAUACUUGUAUGCUAUUGUUUGGUGAUCAAGUGAAUGAAUUUUACAGGCAUUGUCUUAUACAUAUAGUUCCUUUCAUGUUUCUCCAGGAAGGUGUCUCACCAAAGUUGAGUUGUUAAAGAUUGUUGAGAUAUGUUGAGAAGGACAGAAUUAAAAUUGUGCCCAGAUAAGUAGAGGAGCAGCUGGAGGGAACAACACAUUGCUUGGGGAACACCUCCCUUGUACAGGGAUCCAGAUUGGGACUGUAUCUUUUGCGGACAUUCUUCACAGGAAUAAGUAUGAUAUUGUUCUUAUGGGAAAAAAUUCUGUAUAACCUAAACUGCAUCAGCUAGCUUGCUAAUGCUUUGUUAACACCUUCUGUUUGUUCAAUAUCUCGCAUUAACAUUUUGGUAUUGCAAAACAAUUAUAUUUAUGUCUUCACACUGAUUAUUAAAUUUUGUGAUAAUAAUCGAGAAUUUAUGGUUGGCCAUCCCUCUGACUUGUGAAUUAAUGAACAGAAUUUUCCAGGAGUAACUCAUUUUCCUCGAAACUAGGUUUCUAUAUGAUCUCGAAA